rnacentral:rRNA from 1 species
UACGGAGGAGGCAAGCGUUAUCCGGAAUUAUUGGGCGUAAAGCGUCCGUAGGUGGCUCUUCAAGUCUGCUGUCAAAGAGUGGGGCUUAACCCUGCAAAGGCAGUGGAAACUGAAAGGCUAGAGAGCCGUAGGGGUAGAGGGAAUUCCCGGUGUAGCGGUGAAAUGCGUAGAGAUCGGGAAGAACAUCGGUGGCGAAAGCGCUCUACUGGACGGUAUCUGACACUGAUGAGCGAAAGCCAGGGGAGCAAACGGG